rnacentral:misc_RNA from 1 species
CUUGACGUCGGCGAUUUCAG